rnacentral:rRNA from 1 species
UACGUAGGGGGCAAGCGUUGUCCGGAAUCAUUGGGCGUAAAGAGCGUGUAGGCGGCCCGAUAAGUCCGCCGUGAAAGUCCAGGGCUCAACCCUGGAAUGCCGGUGGAAACUGUCGGGCUGGAGUCCGGAAGAGGCGAGUGGAAUUCCUGGUGUAGCGGUGGAAUGCGCAGAUAUCAGGAGGAACACCUGUGGUGUAGACAGCUUACUGGACCACUUCUGACGCUGAGACACGAAAGCGUGGGUAGCAAACAGG